rnacentral:lncRNA from 1 species
UUCUAUGGUAUCAACCGAGGAGUGUAUCGUCCAGAAUAUCCAACAGAGAGAAGUCUGCCAACUAAACCAUAUCACUUGUAGCCCCCAUAACGAAACAAUUUCAAAACCAUGGAACCACGUGGUUGAAUUGGCUUGAGGGAUGUCUGCAUUGUCUCAUCUUUUAACCUUCGUUUUUUGUUUCUGCUUUUCUUUUUUCUUUUUUGUAUUUUUAUCACCUUCAACUUUUGUUUGACUUUCUGGUGUUCCUUUCUGUUUUUUCCCCUUAGCUUAUUUUUUCCGCAGACACUGAAACCAGAAAGAGGUUGCGAGGGUUCGAGCGCUGACUGCGUUUGCGGCUUCAUCGGAUGCAAACCCAAGAGACCGAUGAAAUCCACGACCGCCGCUGCUCCACGCUAAUCAUCGACGUGGUCUCCGCAGACGCAGCAGACGUGUUGUUGUCGUCGAGAUUUUUUGGAACUGGAGUUAGUUCGCAUUGCUGAAUGCGGAGCUUGCCGAUCCUGCACAGAAAACACGCCCGCGAAGUUUCAGCCGAAUGGACGAAGGCGUAGCUCGGGAAUUCCGGGCCAGUGCCUUAGAUCAAUGGGGAACUCAGUUAUUGGUGGAAAGCGGGUGAGGGAUUGCGGUCACCACCUGCAGCACCUCUAGCAAAGCAGAAACUUUACCCCCCCCCCCCCCCCGGUGUUGAAUCGCUAAAGUGCCUGAAUCCUACUCAAAAAUUUGAAAUAAUGUUAGAUAUUGGGUGCUAUUUCAUUUGCUGAUGUGCGGAUCAUUGUUUAACGCUAUACCGAUUUCACUGCUCACUUGCAGGCGGGGAGAACGACGAAUGAAGGACUGAAGCUUUUCGGUGGCGUUAAGCUUCAAUAAUGAGUGAACUUUGGUGGUAUUAUCUCCAGCAAUGGGCAUGCAAUCAGGCUGUGAAUCAUACCUGGUGGAUGACCACGAACGAGGAAGUUACUGCACCGUUACAACUCCAGAGGGUUCUUGGUUGAGGAAUCCGUC